AUUUAGUCAAUGGGAACCCCUUCAAGUUGGCUCUUUUGUCUUUUUGGCAUGUCCCAUCAUAUUUGGAGUCUUAAGAAUUUACAUCUUGGUUAUCUGCUUUCGGCAUUCCACUCUCCUAGCGACGGCUUCAGUAUAAAAUGGGAUUAAUAGUACAACAGAAGAUUGUUGUUGUAAGGACUAAAUCAGCUAAUACUUAUAUAAUGUUCAGAACAAUGCCCAGCAUUACAGAUAUAUUACUUCUGUGUUUAAAUAAGUUCUGAGGAAUUUCUGCUAUGCUUCUUCAUUUGGGAAGUGAUGGAUACUCCUGCAGAAGCAGAUCUCUGCCCCUGGACAGAUGGGGAAAGGCUACUGGGAAGGCAGUUAGUGUCUGCUGCAGUGCACACAAAAAUGGGAAGCAGUACGUGCAAUGCUCUGGAAAGAUGAUUGCGGCAAGAGCUUCACCUAAAGGACUAGUGAGGACAGGAUUGUAUCAAUAGGUGGAGCCAAGAUGGACGAAUAGGAACAGCUCCAGUCUACAGCUCCCAGCGUGAGCGACACAGAAGAUGGGUGAUUUCUGCAUUUCCAACUGAGGCACACUCCUUUACAAUAUGACUGUCACUUCUCCCAUUAAGAGGUGAAGUCUGUCUGUCCAAGCUUUGAAUCUGAUAUUGACUAUCUGACUGCUUUGGCCAAUGAGACAUUAGCAAAUAAAAGGUAUUGGUUCCUAAUAAACAUCUUGCACCUCAAAUUCCAUCCCAGAAUCUGCUUCCAGAGAACCCCAUCUAUACCAAGACCCUGAUGAUCCCAGUCAUCUCAGUUAUUCCUGCUGAAGUUCCACUCGUGAGUGAGGCCAUCCUGGAUCAGCAGACCAGCUGCGCCAGCUCCAACAUAAAAAACAACCAACUCAGAUAAUCCUGAAAAAUAACAAAUACCUGUUGUUUUAAAA
ensembl:lncRNA novel transcript